CUUCUUCUUCACCUGAAGACCAGAGUAGGUUGGAGGUGACUAGUGUGUGUAAGCCCAGGAGAAGCAAGGGCUUAGAGAAGAAUCCAACUGUGACAUCGAGAAGAGCCUGUCCAGUCCCUUCCCAGUAGUGGCUCUGGGGCCCAGGCCUGGCUUCCAGAAGAUGGGGCAGCUCUACUCUGGGGUCAAAGCCAACUACUGCUUGGAAUCUUGGUGCAAUGCCCAGGCUGGAAUGCAAUGGCGUGAUCUCAGCUCACUGCAACCUCUGCUUCUCGGGUUCAAGCGAUUCUCCUGUCUCAGCCUCCCGAGCAGGUGGGACUACAGCUGCCACAGUCUCUCCUGGAGGCGGAGCUUAGCUUUCUGUCUCUGGAAGUACCUACUCCACCCCUGACCUUCAGCCAGAAUGGAAGGCAAGAUGGGGACACAGAACGGGCUUAUCAUGACAACGAAGACAAUUCUAAACAAGGGAGGAGGGCGUGGUCUCCACCUCUCCUUCCCCAUUCAAUCAAACAUCAAACGCUGACUCUGCUAUGUGUCCAGCCCUUAGGAGUGAGAGAGACGUGAGCCUGAAGUCUCAGACAAGCUCCUUAACCCCGCUAAGCCUGCUUCUCACCUGCACAAUGGGGAUAAUAAAACCUACUUCCAAGGAGAA